rnacentral:tRNA from 1 species
AGGGCUUUAGUUUAAUCAAAAUGUUUGAUUUGCAAUCAGAAGAUGUGGAGUAAUAUCCGCAAGCCCUA